GAGGCCCACAGCUGGAAGUUUUAAUCCAGUAGACCUCAGGAGGGUGAAGGGAUGAAGGAUGGGUGAGGCACCCCCGCCCAUGCUGCAGGAACUUGCCCCCUCUAGACGUCUGGGGACACUGGAGGGCGUGACCCCGGGCAGUGCCUCCCUGCGCCCUGGCCGAUGCUCACAUGGCUGCUCCUUCUGCUCAGCCUGCCUGGCCUGAAUCCUUAGCACAGGCAGCAACAGUCCCUUGGAGGUGGCUUCCAGAUGAGACCAGUUUGUUGUGCCCAGUCUGGAGUGUCCAGGAAGGGUAUUGAAGAAGUGGGGUUGUAUCACAGGCCACAAAUUCAACAAGAAGGAGAGCCCCACAGUAUCCUGAGUCUCAGGUUUCACUCUGUUGGGUCAUGCAGACUUGUUUACUGACCACAGAGGGGCAACAGACAAAGGUGAUCGUAGAAUUUUUCAUUUUUGGCCUGAGAGGGUGGAUUGUUAUCUGUAAUUUACCUACUAGUUAAGAGAAUGCUAUUCGUCACUACAUUUUGUAGAAUGUAACUGUCACUGGAACAGUUUUGUGGUUAAUUUUUUUUUUUAGCCACUCAGAUGACCAGCGUCUGUCCAUGAACCAGUUACUUAUACAUGUUGGACCUAUUAAUUAAGGCCAGAUCAAUCAUGUUCUGUCAGCGGCAGGGCGCAGGGAUGGGUUCCACCUAGCUCCUCAGGGUCCAGGUGGCCAGCCACUCUGCCAGCCUCAGUGUCUUCCAAGAUCACUGGGGUGUUGAUAGCCAGGAGGCAGACAGCAGAGACAGUGGGAGGGAGAGGAUCGCCAGGAAGUUUAAUAGGUCGUUGGUAGAGGCACCUUGGCCAGUGCACAGUUCUCUGACCUGCACAUCCGGUCACAUGUUUGUACUCAGCUGUCAGAGACUGGGAAACAGAGCCUGGCAUGCUCAGGGAGACAGUGAGCAGCUAGCAGAGUUCCUUGGGGCUAGGAGGGACUGUGGCAUGCCAAGAAAUAGGGGGCACCUCAGAACCCAAAGUGGGGGUGCUUCAGCCAAUGGCGUAUAAUCUUGGAAUUCCUGGGUUGUUCUCAC
rnacentral:lncRNA from 1 species